UACGGAGGGUGUAAGCGUUGUCCGGAAUCACUGGGCGUAAAGGGCGCGUAGGCGGCUCAUGAAGGCUGUGGUGAAAGUCCGGGGCUCAACCUCGGAUCGGCCGUGGCGACUCGUGGGCUGGAGCACUGUAGAGGCGGGUGGAAUUCCGGGUGUAGCGGUGGAAUGCGUAGAGAUCCGGAAGAACACCGGUGGCGAAGGCGGCCUGCUGGGCAGUUUUGCUGACACUGAGGCGCGACAGCGUGGGGAGCAAACAGG
rnacentral:rRNA from 1 species